GACGAACGCUGGCGGCGUGCUUAACACAUGCAAGUCGAACGGAAAGGCCCUGCUUUUGUGGUGUGCUCGAGUGGCGAACGGGUGAGUAACACGUGAGUAACCUGCCCUUGACUUCGGGAUAACUUCAGGAAACUGGGGCUAAUACCGGAUAGGAGCUCCUGCUGCAUGGUGGGGGUUGGAAAGUUUCGGCGGUUGGGGAUGGACUCGCGGCUUAUCAGCUUGUUGGUGGGGUAGUGGCUUACGAAGGCUUUGACGGGUAGCCGGCCUGAGAGGGUGACCGGCCACAUUGGGACUGAGAGACGGCCCAGAAUGCUACGGGAGGCAGUAGUGGGGAAUCUUGCACAAUGGGCGGACGCCUGAUGCAGCAAUGCCGCGUGCGGGAUGACGGCCUUCGGGUUGUAAACCGCUUUCGCCUGUGACGAAGCGUGAGUGACGGUAAUGGGUAAAGAAGCACCGGCUAACUACGUG
rnacentral:rRNA from 1 species